rnacentral:rRNA from 1 species
UACGAGGGGGGCGAGCGUUGUUCGGAAUUACUGGGCGUAAAGCGUGCGUAGGCGGUUUGUUAAGUCUGUUGUGAAAUCCCCGGGCUCAACCUGGGAAUGGCAAUGGAUACUGGCAAGCUAGAGUGUGUCAGAGGAUGGUGGAAUUCCCGGUGUAGCGGUGAAAUGCGUAGAGAUCGGGAGGAACAUCAGUGGCGAAGGCGGCCAUCUGGGACAACACUGACGCUGAGGCACGAAAGCGUGGGGAGCGAACAGG